UGGCUCGAUAGCUCAGUUGGUAGAGCACUUGAUUGAAGCUCAAGGUGUCGGCGGUUCGAAUCCGUCUCGAGCCAUC
rnacentral:tRNA from 1 species